GUAGACUGCAGGAGUGAACACGUUAGUGUAUUUAGAAGACUCAUUUUCUCAGUCAAAAAGGGUUGAAAUGUCAAUGAAAGUGAUACUUAAAUUUGGCCAGAAAGACGCAUCAAAUGUGCCUGUAUUUUCUAUUUCUGGUCAUGUCGACGUAACUUACGUUACAUAGCUUAGCUAGUUGUUUGCUAACACAUUAGCCGUAGCAACUUCACUCACAAGUUAAUGCUAAUUUGGGGUAUUUAUGUCUCUUACCGGUCAGUAAUAGCUAAUUGAAGCUUCAAUGGAUGGAGGUGAGGGUGGAGUGCAGGGAGCUGUUGGCCGUGGACAGAGGCUGGAUGAGGAAUAGAAACUGCGACCGGGUCUCCUGGUGUCCCAAGGCGGACACGCACAUCGCAAAGAACCACUCUGGAUCCUCUUGACCCACCAGAACUUCCCUCAACAUCUUCCUCACCAAGGCUUUACUGUCCUCGGCACCAGCCGCUGCCGCAGGAGGCAUCUUCAAGUGAAAGGGCCUCCUGACUGCGGCAUUGUCUUGAACAGAGGGGGCACUCUGUCGCCGCUCUCAUGGCAUGGUACUGCCAGUGCAGCUGGAGCUUCUCCUGAGUUGGGAACGCCAGGCUGCACCUGCUGCAACGGAACCGGUGAGGCAAUGGAAUCAGCAGGAGGGGAACAAUUUGCAUUGUUAUUCUUUUUAUUUUUCUGAGUAUCAUCUGUGUGCAACUCCAUCUGUGGCUCCGUCUGCAGCUCAGGCUGCGGUUGUUCCAUGGCCACAGACCCUUGCCCACUGCAGCUGUCCACUGUCCCGUUGGAGGAGCGCUGAGGGGGCUGAGCCUGGCUGCCAGCAGCUGAGAACAGUCUCUAAUCUGAUAAAGAUUUUCAUUUACACUGCAAUCAAUAACCUGGCUCUAUCGGCAAUGAUUCCGGAUAAACACAGUUCGGAUGCUGUUUUGAACGCAGGAGGAACCCGCCGGAUCCAACACACCAGUCUCAAGCGGUCGUGUUUUUCACAAGAGGUCUGUAGUAGAAUGGCUCUUCAACUGGAGGACGCGGUGUGAAGCAGCAUCCUCACUACAGAAGUCUUGCAUGAGAUGACGAAUCUGAGCCAGCUCCAUGGGUGCUGCCCCUCAGCUGACCCUGAUCUCUGACCCCAAGUUUCCCAUCAGGAUCAAUUGA